UGGUAAUAGCUAAUUUAGACCCCCAUCAUUUUGUAUAUAUAGUUGGGAUUAUGGCCACCUCCCUGUUCAACAUAUUCAUAGAGAUCCUGUCACACACAGAGGUGGUGCAACCUAGUGGUUAGAACAGGAGUCUGGCCUACUGGUUGCAGAAGAAUCAACAGGCAGAGCUGGAGAAAAGCCAAUGUGGUUGGAGCCAGGAGUUCUGAGGAAGCUCCUCCAGUUCAGCCAUUGUGGUCUCAAGAGCUCCACCUUACCCCCCUGCAGAUCAUUCUACUAAAGGCAAUAGGAUUGCUUAUGGAAUAAGCUGGUAUUCAGCAUGAGUAAGCCACACUGAGAAGAAGCAGAAAGUGCAUCAGGAAACUGACUGAGCUUUCUUUAGCGUGGGAAUGAAAACACAUGUGGGACCGAUGGGCACUUUUGGCCUUGGUUUACCUGCCUGGGCUCUUGAGAUGUGUCAUCCAGAAGAAUCAUUUGAAAUGAGAUCACAAGGACUUUCAUUCGCAGACAAACAGUACAAAUGAGUUUCUAUUUCUACCUCAGAGAGUGGUUUGGAGCUAGUUGAGUAGCUAGGAGCUUUGCAUUGGUUCAGUUCCCAGCUUCUUGCUCUAGAAUGUGCCUGGAUUUGAGUCUGCAUAAGCCUGGCCCAAGCAGAAGGCAAAAAAUAAACAGCUGGAGUUUGGCAGGACAAAGAGGGGUCAGUGCAGAAAGGGAGUUGCCUAGAUCUGUGACAUGCAAUUUGUGGCUUUAGAGCCACAUAUCUGGGCUCCCUGGACAGUUAUUCUAACAGAGUCCACAGCCUUCCUGAGGUUAUGGUAGAAACUGGAUUCUCAGACAACAGGCCUUCGAGGCCCGGGGCUGCUGGGGUGGCCAUUUCAGAUGGGCAGGCAAACAAGGACAAGGGGGAUCCUCAGGAGCAGCUGGCGCAUAUCAUUGGCAAUUAAUAAAUAUAGAACAAGAAUGAUUUAGCAGUGGCAGCUGUGCUGAUUGGCUUAGGAAAAGCCUGCGUAGCUGAGGAGCAUCAUUCUGACCAGAGGGGGUUUUGGGGGGGGAAAACAGGUGGUGCAGAGGUUGGAGCUGCACAGACAGGUGAGGAGAACUAUCCUGUGCAAAGACAGGCUGGAUGCCUAUGGGAUUGAUAGAACAAAUGGCUCACCAGGGUUAAAAGUUCUCAUAUUAGGGCCCAUGGUUGUCCAUUGCAUUGGGUCACUGCUGGGAUACCUCUGAUCAUUCAAGCAGUGAGGAAUGUGGGAGGAGAGAUACAGGUAUUACCCCUCAACAGCUUCACAUUGUGUUCUAAUAUGCUACAUUGUGAUGUUGCGCAGUAUCCAGGCAGAACAAAGUUGAGCAGCAGUGAGGCAACGUUAAGACACUUCUGUGGCUGUCUGAAAUUCUAUUUGGUGGCUCUUCACCACCCCUGCUAGGACAUCACCAUUUUUCUAACCCAGGCUGUCUGGAGGGAACUCUGGAGAUAUCCAAAGCAAUAUUUUUCUCUCUGCCCCGACUAUAAAUCUGAGUGUCUGGGCCAAAUUCCAUUUAAAACAACAUUCUGCUUAAAUCCCCCUUGCAGGUUCAGCUGAGUACUGUAUUCUUCACUUCUAAGCAUAAGCAUAUGGAACCAGAAGUGUAAACUGAUGUUUCUUGAAGUCAAUGGAGAAACACAGAGUUACACCAGUUGAGAAUUUAGCCCAUGUGGUAUUGAUGUGCACUGUUGCCAUAUUCCACACCAGAGGUGGUUGCAUUUCAGUAGUGGGUAAGCUCUUUAGGGCAGGAUCCAUCUCUUCGUUGUAUGUACAGCGCCUAGCACAAUGGAGUCCUGAUCCAUGAUUUGGAGCCUUAGGAGUUACCCCAAUAUAAAUAAAUAAUAAUGGUCUCUUCACCUGCAUAUCAUGGUUAGCCGAAUCAUGUUUCCUUUCUCCACUAUCUCAUGAGAAGUGAAAAUAAAUUCAAAGUUUAAAACCAUUUACCAGAUGUUAACUGGAAUCAUUUUACAUAUGGUAUAACACAUUCUGCAGAGAUUCAGUAGAAAUGACUUGAGCAUGCUGCAGCUGAGGUGCAUUGAAAAAAUGAAUACAGAUGCUUGUCACGAGAGAACAAAAAUAACUUUUCAGUAGAAUACCUGAGGUUUAAAAAGUUGCACAAACUGUCAAGCCUCUUAUUUUGGGUACGUCCCAGUCCUGUCUGUUAUUAAAUGCUGCCAUAUGGCAGUAGAGAUGGACGGGUUUUGUUUCACUUAAGGGGAACAAUACAUUAGUGACAGGUUUCUUGGAGCCUAGUGGUGGUGCGUGCAGCUAUGAAAUUCUGAUGCCUUUGUUUGGUGCUCCUCGUGGAAAAGUGCUGUAGGUUUAUGGUGUGAGACCAAUAGGUCUCCAUAGAACUUGGUCUAAAAUCCUAUCAAAUGUAAUAUAGAAUAAGUGUCUGUUUUAAAAACGUACUUAAUAGAACUUCAUAGAGAAUUGUAUCCCCACUGUGCAAUCUUUUAGGUUGGUUUAAAAAUCCCACAGAAGGGAGAUCAUGGACAUAAUAAUAUAACCAUGCUCAGUGCUGUAUAAAUUAAGCUUUGAAUUAAAUAGGUACAGAAUGGGAAUAAAUGGGGCAUACACUUUUAACAGCGCCAUAUUAUGUAUAUCUUUCCAUCUGGCUAAGUGAAGAAUUAAAGAUCUCUCUCGAAAGAUGUUGAUCACUCAAAGUGAUUAGAAGUCAGCGGUAAAUGUAGUGCGGUGCUGUGAGUGCUAUUUUGCAAUGGAAAUGACUUCUUCAUGGAUCUGUAAGCAGCAUAUUGAAUUCUGAGGGUUUUGUUGGUAGGAUUGUGGCCAGAUUUAAUGAAUGAAUCCCUGACUAUUUCAGAACAAAACUCAUUUUUAUGAUGGUAGCAUCUAGAAGCCCCAACCAAAAGCAGGGCUCCAUUGUGCUAGACGACGUACAAAAUGCAUAGUGAGAGACUGCUGAUGACCUCAGAGCUUACAAUCAAAAUAGACAAGAUAGACAAAUGGUAGGGAAAAGUAAUAUUAUUACCCCAUGUCACGGGGUGCUCUACUCACCCCUGGAGCACCUCCUUGUGGCCAUGGCUGGGGAUUAGCUCUGUCAGUCCAAUGCCUCUUCCUGCAGGUGCUCAGACUGUCUCGCUCUCAAAUCUCAACUGCUCCCUCUUCAUGGCUAGGUCCUCCGGCCACCUCACUGGAGUUUUCCCCCUUCCAGAGGUUUGUGUUCUAAAAUCUCUCUGCACUCACUGUCCCAGGCAGUCUUCCAAUUCACUGCCUCUCAAUGGUGCCACUUUCCCAGGGGCUAAUAGGGGAACCCAGGCCCACCAUCUUCUCUGUGUUCCUGCCCAGGGACCCUACAACCAGCAGCUAAGGUCUGCAGUGUCCCACGCCUUGCUGCUGUUUCCUAUGUUACCUCCACCAUCCUCCAGGCCAAAGUCCCCUUCUUCCUUAGACUCAGAGAGAGUGGCUGAAAACCUCCUCGCUGCAUCCCCUUGGCUACCUGGCUUUAAAUGAGCCCUGGCUUUUCCUGCCCAGGUGAGCUUAUCCUUUAGUUUGUCCUCAUUGCUUCUUGGCUCCUCCCCCAGGCGAAGCCUAGGCAGUGUAACCCCUUUAGUGGUGGGUGUGGGGUGAACACCCCAUCACAUGCCAUUUUACAGAUGGAAAACUGAAGCCCAGAGAAGGGAAGUGGCUUGCCCAAACUCACACAGGGAGUCUAUGGCAAAGCUAGUAAUUGAAUAGUGAAAACUGACGAGUCAGAGAAACCACAGAGGCGCUGUAGGAGACAUAAAUAAUGAACCGUUGUAAAGUACUUUGACAUCCCCUCAUGACAUCUUUGAUAGAAGUACAAAAUGUUGUUGGUAGAGCUUACCAUGGUAUAGAUGAUGCUGAGAAGUCCCAAACCGCUUACUUGGGGUGGGGGGUAUUGUAAUAUAAUUAGAAGACCCCCCGCAAUGAGUGCUUCAUUCAAACCAGGAUGUGUGGAGACCUUGGUGCAGAUUCUAAGCUGUGCCUCAUCUGUGCUGGGUACAGCAGGAGAUGCCAAAGAGCUCUUGGUGGUUCCUUGAUGCUGGGGUAGUUUAGAGCAGCCUCAGGGCUGCUUUAACACGGGCUGGCGGCUGAGCACUUCUGAAAAUUGAUCUCCAAAUGCAUGUGCUGCAUGCUAGUCCCAUACCUGUAAUUGUACCCCAUACCUGAAAAUCUGCCCCUGACUACUUUUAAAAAUUUCCCCAUAGUGUGCAGAAUUCUUUCUAUAACCCCAGUUUCAGGAUUCCUUACUUCUGAUUCCUAAUUUUCAACAAUGAAACUGAGAGGGACCCCAAAUUUGUGGGCAAUGUAAGCAACUUUGGGACUGAAAUGAGGGGUAUGCAGGUUAUACAUUUGGAGUGGGUAAAACUGACCAAAUCCCAGUUAAAACACAGUGAAACUCCUCUGAAACCCAUGAUUUCAUCUUGCCGAUUUUACAUUUCAACCAGAUAUCCUGCCAUCAGUUUUCUUUGUUUAGAUACAACAGACAUUGCUACACAGCACCACACUGCAAUCUAAAAGUAAGUGGAUUAAAUAUAUAACAGUUGACAAGGCUGCAGAUAGGGAGGUUAGAGAGCACAUAUGUGGAAUGUAUAAACUGUGCUAAUUAAGCUUUAGCGGAAACAAUUUAGACUGUCAGUCUAGCUGGUAUAAAUUUGUCCUCCCUCUUUUGUUUGAUUUGUGUAUAGCCUCAAUCUUAGCCUGACUCUCUGAAUUAAGCUCAGCAGGAAAAUACACAGGGAUUCUACUUAAUAGCUAAGACAACUUCCAUACCUCCUAGAACAGAAGCACAACAUCCUCUUUGUUUUCUCAGUUAUACUAAAUAUGGGCAAAUAGGUAUAUAGCAGCAAAUUGCAUAUGCAAUUAACAGGAUUGUUACUGGGAAAAUUAAAGACAAAUAGCAAAUAUAUAUAUAUAGUUGUCGUCUGACUGAAUGUGGGAACGUUUCCUUGGAAAAAUUUCCCACAUGAUUAUGUUUUAUAAACCUAAGUUCUUACUAUCCUUCCCAGUAAUCAGGUCCCAUGGGACUACUGUAUUCUGAUGUGGAAACAAAACCUAGCAAACAAUCUACAUUAUUUAGCAAUAAUAUGUAUUUCGGUUAAAGGGACAUUGUCAAAGAUAUCAUCAAAUCAUAUGUGCACUCUCUCUAUAAAACCUCACUUAAAUUUCUAACAUCACCUCAUUUAAAAUGGAAAGUAUGGUUUGAAUCUUUUUUAUUUUCCAAUAUGUGCUAACUUUUAAAUGUUCCAGGCAACAUGUACAAGGAAAUUAGAUUAGUCAGUUUCACAUGGUUUCCAGCUCUCAUGUGCCAUCACAAUACUACACAGUUUGAAUUGGAAACACUGCAAGAGGACAUUGCAAUCCCAAACAGCUCAUCCCGACAUUGCUACUUUUAGCUUUUAACAGCCAUAUGGGAAGAAUCUGAGCAGUGGCUCUCAACCUUUCCAGACUAUUGUAACCCUUUCAGGUGUCUGAUUUGUCUUGCGUACCCCCAAGUUUCACCUCACUUAAAAACUACUUGCUUACAAAA